rnacentral:rRNA from 1 species
CAGUAGGGAAUCUUCGGCAAUGGACGAAAGUCUGACCGAGCAACGCCGCGUGAGUGAAGAAGGUUUUCGGAUCGUAAAACUCUGUUGUUAGAGAAGAACAAGGACGUUAGUAACUGAACGUCCCCUGACGGUAUCUAACCAGAAAGCCACGGCUAACUACGUGCCAGCAGCCGCGGUAAUACGUAGGUGGCAAGCGUUGUCCGGAUUUAUUGGGCGUAAAGCGAGCGCAGGCGGUUUCUUAAGUCUGAUGUGAAAGCCCCCGGCUCAACCGGGGAGGGUCAUUGGAAACUGGGAGACUUGAGUGCAGAAGAGGAGAGUGGAAUUCCAUGUGUAGCGGUGAAAUGCGUAGAUAUAUGGAGGAACACCAGUGGCGAAGGCGGCUCUCUGGUCUGUAACUGACGCUGAGGCUCGAAAGCGUGGGGAGCAAACAGGAUUAGAUACCCUGGUAGUCCACGCCGUAAACGAUGAGUGCUAAGUGUUGGAGGGUUUCCGCCCUUCAGUGCUGCAGCAAACGCAUAAGCACUCCGCCUGGG